AUUGAACGCUGGCAGCAGGCCUAACACCUGCAAGUCGCGCGGAGCGGCGGACGGGUGAGUAAUGCCUAGGAAUCUGCCUGGUAGUGGGGGCUACCGUCCGGAAACGGGCGCUAAUACCGCAUACUAUCAGAUGAGCCUAGGUCGGAUUAGCUAGUUGGUGGGGUAAAGGCCUACCAAGGCUACGAUCCGUAACUUGUCUGAGAGGAUGAUCAGUACCACUGGAACUGAUACACGGUCCAGACCCCGACGGGAGGGAGCAGUGGGGAAGAUUGGACAAUGGGCGAAAGCCUGAUCCAGCCAUGCCGCGUGUGUGAAGAAGUUUUUCGGAUUUUAAAGCACGUUAAGUUGGGAGGCGUUACCAACAGAAUAAGCACCGGCUAACUUCGUGACGGCAGCCGCGGUAAUAC
rnacentral:rRNA from 1 species